UGGCCAAGGACUUCAUCCAGCAGCUCCUGGUGAAGGAUCCUGGGAGCCGAAUGACUGCAGCAGAGUGCCUCAUCCACCCAUGGAUCAAGCCCCUGAACCGGAAGCAAGCCGUGAACCGGAGCCGUUCCUCCAUCAACAUGAAGAACUUCCGCAAGUUCAACGCCCGCCAGAAG